rnacentral:rRNA from 1 species
UACGGAGGGUGCAAGCGUUAUCCGGAUUCACUGGGUUUAAAGGGUGCGUAGGAGGGCAGGUAAGUCAGUGGUGAAAUCUUUGGGCUUAACCCGAAAACUGCCAUUGAUACUAUCUGUCUUGAAUGCGGUGGAGGUGAGCGGAAUAUGUCAUGUAGCGGUGAAAUGCUUAGAUAUGACAUAGAACACCGAUUGCGAAGGCAGCUCGCUACACCUGCAUUGACUCUGAGGCACGAAAGCGUGGGGAUCAAACAGA